GAGAGUUUGAUCCUGGCUCAGGAUGAACGCUGGCGGCGUGCCUAAUACAUGCAAGUCGAGCGAACUGAUUAGAAGCUUGCUUCUAUGACGUUAGCGGCGGACGGGUGAGUAACACGUGGGCAACCUGCCUGUAAGACUGGGAUAACUCCGGGAAACCGGAGCUAAUACCGGAUAACAUUUUCUCUUGCAUAAGAGAAAAUUGAAAGAUGGUUUCGGCUAUCACUUACAGAUGGGCCCGCGGUGCAUUAGCUAGUUGGUGAKGUAACGGCUCACCAAGGCAACGAUGCAUAGCCGACCUGAGAGGGUGAUCGGCCACACUGGGACUGAGACACGGCCCAGACUCCUACGGGAGGCAGCAGUAGGGAAUCUUCCGCAAUGGACGAAAGUCUGACGGAGCAACGCCGCGUGAGUGAUGAAGGCUUUCGGGUCGUAAAACUCUGUUGUUAGGGAAGAACAAGUACAAGAGUAACUGCUUGUACCUUGACGGUACCUAACCAGAAAGCCACGGCUAAMUACGUGCCAGCAGCCGCGGUAAUACGUAGGUGGCAAGCGUUWUCCGGAAUUAGUUGGGCGUAAAGSGCGCGCAGGCGGUUUCUUAAGUCUGAUGUGAAAGCCCMCGGCUCAACCGKGGAGGGUCAUUGGAAACUGGGGAACUUGAGUGCAGAAGAGAAAAGCGGAAUUCCACGUGUAGCGGUGAAAUGCGUAGAGAUGUGGAGGAACACCAGUGGCGAAGGCGGCUUUUUGGUCUGUAACUGACGCUGAGGCGCGAAAGCGUGGGGARCAAACAGGAUUAGAUACCCUGGUAGUCCACGCCGUAAUWCGAUKWKUGCUAAGUGUUAGAGGGUUUCCGCCCYUUAGUGCUGCAGCUAACGCAUUAAGCACUCCGCCUGGGGAGUACGGUCGCAAGACUGAAACUCAAAGGAAUUGACGGGGGCCCGCACAAGCGGUGGAGCAUGUGGUUUAAUUCGAAGCAACGCGAAGAACCUUACCAGGUCUUGACAUCCUCUGACAACUCUAGAGAUAGAGCGUUCCCCUUCGGGGGACAGAGUGACAGGUGGUGCAUGGUUGUCGUCAGCUCGUGUCGUGAGAUGUUGGGUUAAGUCCCGCAACGAGCGCAACCCUUGAUCUUAGUUGCCAGCAUUUAGUUGGGCACUCUAAGGUGACUGCCGGUGACAAACCGGAGGAAGGUGGGGAUGACGUCAAAUCAUCAUGCCCCUUAUGACCUGGGCUACACACGUGCUACAAUGGAUGGUACAAAGGGCUGCAAGACCGCGAGGUCAAGCCAAUCCCAUAAAACCAUUCUCAGUUCGGAUUGUAGGCUGCAACUCGCCUACAUGAAGCU
rnacentral:rRNA from 2 species